rnacentral:rRNA from 1 species
UACAGAGGGUGCGAGCGUUUAAUCGGAAUUACUGGGCGUAAAGCGCGCGUAGGCGGCUUUGCAAGUCGGGUGUGAAAUCCCCAGGCUUAACCUGGGAACUGCAUUCGAGACUGCAUUGCUAGAGUAUGGGAGAGGGAGGUGGAAUUUCCGGUGUAGCGGUGAAAUGCGUAGAUAUCGGAAGGAACAUCAGUGGCGAAAGCGACUUCCUGGACCAAUACUGACGCUCAUGUGCGAAAGCGUGGGGAGCAAACAGG